rnacentral:rRNA from 1 species
CCAGACUCCUACGGGAGGCAGCAGUGGGGAAUAUUGCACAAUGGGGGAAACCCUGAUGCAGCGACGCCGCGUGAGUGAAGAAGUAUUUCGGUAUGUAAAGCUCUAUCAGCAGGGAAGAUAAUGACGGUACCUGAGUAAGAAGCCCCGGCUAACUACGUGCCAGCAGCCGCGGUAAUACGUAGGGGGCAAGCGUUAUCCGGAUUUACUGGGUGUAAAGGGAGCGUAGACGGCAUGGCAAGUCUGAAGUGAAAGCCCGGGGCUCAACCGCGGGACUGCUUUGGAAACUGUUAAGCUGGAGUGCAGGAGAGGUAAGUGGAAUUCCUAGUGUAGCGGUGAAAUGCGUAGAUAUUAGGAGGAACACCAGUGGCGAAGGCGGUCUGCUGGACAGCAACUGACGGUGAGGCGCGAAAGCGUGGGGAGCAAACAGGAUUAGAUACCCCAGUA